rnacentral:rRNA from 1 species
UACGUAGGGGGCUAGCGUUGUCCGGAAUCAUUGGGCGUAAAGAGCGCGUAGGCGGCCAAGCAGGUCCGUUGUGAAAACUGGAGGCUUAACCUCCAGACGUCGACGGAAACCGCGCGGCUAGAGUCCGGAAGAGGAGAGUGGAAUUCCUGGUGUAGCGGUGAAAUGCGCAGAUAUCAGGAAGAACACCAAUGGCGAAGGCAGCUCUCUGGGACGGUACUGACGCUGAGACGCGAAAGCGUGGGGAGCGAACAGG